rnacentral:rRNA from 1 species
UCAUUUAGUUGGGCACUCUAGCGAGACUGCCGGUGACAAACCGGAGGAAGGUGGGGAUGACGUCAAAUCAUCAUGCCCCUUAUGACCUGGGCUACACACGUGCUACAAUGGGAAGUACAACGAGUCGCUAGACCGCGAGGUCAUGCAAAUCUCUUAAAGCUUCUCUCAGUUCGGAUUGCAGGCUGCAACUCGCCUGCAUGAAGCCGGAAUCGCUAGUAAUCGCGGAUCAGCACGCCGCGGUGAAUACGUUCCCGGGCCUUGUACACACCGCCCGUCACACCACGAGAGUUUGUAACACCCGAAGUCGGUGAGGUAACCUUUUUGGAGCCAGCCGCCUAAGGUGGGAUAGAUGAUUGGGGUGAAGUCGUAACAAGGUAGCCGUAUCGGAAGGUGCGGCUGGAUCACCUCCUUU